rnacentral:rRNA from 1 species
UUAAGCUAAGAAGAGCGUAGGGAGAAUGCCUUGGCAUUAGGAGCCGACGAAGGACGUGAUAAGCUGCGAUAAGCUGCGGGGAUCAGCAAGUAUGAAUUGAUCCGCAGAUUUCCGAAUGGAGCAAUCCGUAUGUGUAUGCACAUACAUCAUAUACUGAAUCAAAUAGGUAUAUGAGGGGAACCGCCUGAACUGAAACAUCUAAGUAGGGCGAGGAAGAGAAAUCAACCGAGAUUCUGUGAGUAGUGGCGAGCGAAAGCGGAAGAGGCUAAACCAUAGGUAGCAAUACUUAUGGGGUUUCGGACAGCAUUUAGUAUUGAUAAUUUCUAGUUGAAACGUGUGGGAAAACGUACCGAAGAGUGUGAGAGUCACGUAAGCGAAAGAGAAAGUCAGCGAGCUGUAUCCAAAGUACCGCGGGACACGUGAAACCCCGUGGGAAGAUGGGGGGACCAUCCUCCAAGCCUAAAUACUACCUAAUGACCGAUAGCGAAUAGUACUGUGAAGGAACGGUGAAAAGAACCCCGGGAGGGGAGUGAAAAAGAACCUGAAACCCUAUGCUUACAAGCACCGAGAGCACGUCAAAGUGUGAUCGGGUACCUUUUGUAGAAUGGUCCGGCGAGUUAUUGUAUGCGGCAAGGUUAAGUGCUUAAGGCACGGAGCCGAAGCGAGAGCAAGUCUGAAUAGGGCGAAUAAGUCGUAUGCAAUAGACCCGAAACCGAGUGACCUAUCCAUGUCCAGGCUGAAGUGGAGGUAAAACUCCAUGGAGGGCCGAACACACGUCCGUUGAAAAGGCCGGUGAUGAGGUGUGGAUAGCGGAGAAAUUCCAAUCGAACUCGGAUAUAGCUGGUUCUCUCCGAAAUAGCUUUAGGGCUAGCCUCGUGAAAGAUUACUGGAGGUAAAGCACUGAAUGGGCUAGGGGUCGAAAGAUUACUGAACCCUAUCAAACUAAGAAUGCCAGAUAAUUGAUUCACGGGAGUCAGACAAUGUGAGAUAAGUCUCAUUGUCAAAAGGGAAACAGCCCAGACCCACAGCUAAGGUCCCUAAACAUUGUUAAGUGGAAAAGGAUGUGGGGUUGCAUAAACAACCAGGAUGUUGGCUUAGAAGCAGCCACUCAUUAAAAGAGUGCGUAAUAGCUCACUGGUCGAGUGACCCUGCGCCGAAAAUUCAACGGGGCUAAACAAUGUACCGAAGCUUGGGAUUCUAGAUUUAUCUAGAGUGGUAGGAGAGCGUCGAAUAAGGGGUGAAGUCAGAGCGGAAGCGCUGGUGGACUUUAUUCGAGUGAGAAUGCCGGAAUGAGUAGCGAGAAUUAUGUGAGAAUCAUAAUGGCCGAAAAUCUAAGGUUUCCUGAGGAAGGUUCGUCCGCUCAGGGUAAGCCGGGGGCUAAGGCGAGGCGGAGACGCGUAGCCGAUGCACAUACGGUUGAAAUUCCGUAGCCACCGAAAGAUUUAAGUACAGGGACGCUUUAGAAGUGAUGUAGCCGGGCGAUGGUUGACCCGGUCGUAAGGGAUCGAAAAUGAGUAGAGAAGUCAUCAUGGAAAGAGACAAGAAAAGCUGUAUGAAUAUCUUAGGUGCCCGUACCGCAAACCGACACAGGUAGAUAGGAAGAAGAUUCUAAGGCCAACGGGAGAAGGGUUGUUAAGGAACUCGGCAAGUUGACCCCGUAACUUAGGGAUAAGGGGUGCUCAAGUGAUUGAGCCGCAGAGAAUAGGCCCAGGCGACUGUUUAGCAAAAACACAGGUCUCUGCUAAAUCGAAAGAUGACGUAUAGGGGCUGACACCUGCCCGGUGCCGGAAGGUUAAGAGGAGAUGUGAGAGCAUUGAAUUGAAGCCCCGGUAAACGGCGGCCGUAACUAUAACGGUCCUAAGGUAGCGAAAUUCCUUGUCAGGUAAG